rnacentral:rRNA from 1 species
CUAACGCAAUAAGUAGACCGCCUGGGGAGUACGGCCGCAAGGUUAAAACUCAAAUGAAUUGACGGGGGCCCGCACAAGCGGUGGAGCAUGUGGUUUAAUUCGAUGCAACGCGAAGAACCUUACCUGGUCUUGACAUAUCUAGAAUCCUGCAGAGAUGCGGGAGUGCCUUCGGGAAUUAGAAUACAGGUGCUGCAUGGCUGUCGUCAGCUCGUGUCGUGAGAUGUUGGGUUAAGUCCCGCAACGAGCGCAACCCUUGUCCUUAGUUACCAGCGGGUUAAGCCGGGAACUCUAAGGAUACUGCCAGUGACAAACUGGAGGAAGGCGGGGACGACGUCAAGUCAUCAUGGCCCUUACGACCAGGGCUACACACGUGCUACAAUGGUAGGUACAGAGGGCAGCUACACAGCGAUGUGAUGCGAAUCUCAAAAAGCCUAUCGUAGUCCAGAUUGGAGUCUGCAACUCGACUCCAUGAAGUAGGAAUCGCUAGUAAUCGCGGAUCAGAAUGCCGCGGUGAAUACGUUCCCGGGCCUUGUACACACCGCCCGUCACACCAUGGGAGUUGAUUGCACCAGAAGUGGUUAGCCGAACCUUUUAGGACGGCGAUCACCACGGUGUGGUUGAUGACUGGGGUGAAGUCGUAACAAGGUAGCCGUAGGGGAACCUGCGGCUG